GAUGAACGCUGGCGGCGUGCUUAACACAUGCAAGUCGAACGAUGAAGCCCAGCUUGCUGGGUGGAUUAGUGGCGAACGGGUGAGUAACACGUGAGUAACCUGCCCUUAACUCUGGGAUAAGCCUGGGAAACUGGGUCUAUUACCGGAUAGGAGCGUCCACCGCAUGGGGGGUGUUGGGGAGAUUUAGCGGUUUUGGAUGGCCUCGCGGCCUAUCAGCUUGUUGGGGGAGUAAUGGUACACCAACGCGGCGACGGGUAGGCGGCAUGAGAGGGUGACCAGCGACCCGGGGACUGAGAGACGGCGCAGACGCCAACGGGGGGCAGCAGUCGGGAACAUUGUCCAAUGGGCGCAAGCCUGAUGCAGCGGUGCCGCGUGAGGGAUGACGGCCUUCUGGUUGUAAACCUCUGUCAGUAGGGAAGAAGCGGAAGUGACGGUACCUGCAGAAGAAGCACCGGCUAACUACGUG
rnacentral:rRNA from 1 species